AUUGAACGCUGGCGGCAGGCUUAACACAUGCAGGUCGAGCGGGGAAAGGUAGCUUGCUACCUAACCUAGCGGCGGACGGGUGAGUAAUGCUUAGGAAUCUGCCUAUUAGUGGGGGACAACAUUCCGAAAGGAAUGCUAAUACCGCAUACGCCCUACGGGGGAAAGCAGGGGAUCUUCGGACCUUGCGCUAAUAGAUGAGCCUAAGUCAGAUUAGCUAGUUGGUGGGGUAAAGGCCUACCAAGGCGACGAUCUGUAGCGGGUCUGAGAGGAUGAGCCGCCACACUGGGACUGAGACACGGCCCAGACUCCUAAGGGAGGCAGCAGUGGGGAAUAUUGGACAAUGGGCGAAAGCCUGAUCCAGCCAUGCCGCGUGUGUGAAGAAGGCCUUUUGGUUGUAAAGCACUUUAAGCGAGGAAGAGGCUACUUGGAUUAAUACUCUAGGAUGGUGGACGUUACUCGCAGAAUAAGCACCGGCUAACUCUGUGCCAGCCGCCGCCGUAAGAC
rnacentral:rRNA from 1 species